rnacentral:rRNA from 1 species
GACGAACGCUGGCGGCGUGCUUAACACAUGCAAGUCGAACGGAAAGGCCCUGCUUGCAGGGUACUCGAGUGGCGAACGGGUGAGUAACACGUGGGUGAUCUGCCCUGCACUUCGGGUUAAGUCUGGGCAACUGGGCCUAAUACCGGAUAGGAGCCAUUUUUAGUGUGAUGGUUGGAAAGUUUUUUCGGUGUAGGAUGAGCUCGCGGCCUAUCAGCUUGUUGGUGGGGUAAUGGCCUACCAAGGCGGCGACGGGUAGCCGGCCUGAGAGGGUGGCCGGCCAUACUGGGACUGAGGGACGGCCCAGACUCCUACGGGAGGCAGCAGGGGGGAAGAUUGAACAAGGGGCGCAAGCCUGAUGCAGCAACGCCUCGUGGGGUAUGACGGUCUUCGGGUUGUAAACUACUUUCGCUAGGGACGAAGCUUGUUGUGACGGUACCUAGAUAAGAAGCACCGGCUAACUACGUG